GUUCUUGAAAUUUAAAAAAUUUGGCGGUAUUUUAGUCUAGUUAGAGGAACCUGUUUUAUAAACGAUACUACACGCAUUAUCUUACUUUUUUUUGUAUUCAGUUUGUAUACCGUCAUUGUCAGAUAAUUUAAGAGAUAACAUUAUUAGGACCAGUAUUUUGAGUAUAUUAGAUCAAGGUGCAGCUUAUAAAAAAGAAAAAAUGGGUUACAAUAAAAUUUAUUUAUUACGGAGUUAAAAUUUAAAAAUUUUAAUGAAGGAGGAUUUAAUUGGU
rnacentral:rRNA from 1 species